UAGCAUUGAUCCAAUUCACAUUGACGAUCCUCUUUUUCCAACAAAUAACGUGGGAAGGAACUGCUUUCGGAUACAUCAAUGUAUCAAGGCAUUUUCAGAUGCUUAUUCUAUUCUGGAGAAUGAACUCACAUGCCUCCCCACAAGUGGCGAUUCAAGUACAAGUCCACCAUACAGGCUUCUUCCAAAAAUUAUCUCCAGUAUUGAUCUUUUAUAGGGAUUCCAAGUAUUUGGAGAAUUUUUAUUUGUUUGGCAGGUAAGUCAUAGUGUUUCGUACUGUGAAUCAAAAGUUUGAAUUGGCCUUUUUAAGUGUUUGUUAGUGUGAAUUAAAAGUUUGAACUUUUUUUUCCUCCAGACUCGGUAUCAAAGAAAGUAAAAGUGUCAAAACAUUAGUCAUUUUUGAACUGAAAAUUUGUGUAAUAAGAUUUUAUGUUCUUUUUCCUCUAGGUAAGUUUUAAUAAAGACUAUUGGAUAUGAAGGUC